rnacentral:miRNA from 1 species
CAUUGCACUUGUCUCGGCUACU